UACGGAGGGUGCAAGCGUUAUCCGGAUUCACUGGGGUUAAAGGGUGCGUAGGCGGGCAGGUAAGUCAGUGGUGAAAUCCUAGAGCUUAACUCUAGAACUGCCAUUGAUACUAUCUGUCUUGAAUAUUGUGGAGGUAAGCGGAAUAUGUCAUGUAGCGGUGAAAUGUUUAGAUAUGACAUAGAACACCUAUUGCGAAGGCAGCUUACUACGCAUAUAUUGACGCUGAGGCACGAAAGCGUGGGGAUCAAACAGG
rnacentral:rRNA from 1 species